rnacentral:rRNA from 1 species
AGAAGACUCGGUAAGACCAGAGACGCAAACGUUAAUCAUCUUAAACAGGCGUAAAGGGUUUGUAGGCAGCUUUCACAAGAAUAUAAUUACCCAAAUAAAGUAGUCUAAUUGAAAGCUAGAAUCAAAAAGAGGUUAUAGUGUAUAACGCCUAGGUGAGGGCUGAUAUCCGUAGAUCCUAGGCAGAAUACUUAAGGCGAAGGCCACUCUCCACUAAUGAUUGACGCUGAGAAACGAAGGUUAGGGUAGGAAAUAGGAUUAGAUACCCCGGUACUCCUUUCUGUAAACGAUGAAUGGUAGUCAUUAGUUUUUAAAAAUAACUAGAGGCGAAGUUAACACGAUAACCAUUCCGCCUUGUGAGUACUACUGCAAAGUAGAAAACAAAAAAAUUAGUCGGUCUCGAAGCAAACGGAGUGAAGCA